GAGGUCCCGCCUGCCCCGUGACUUACGUUCAACGGCCGCGGUAUUCUAACCGUGCAAAGGUAGCGCAAUCAAUUGUCUUUUAAAUGAAGACCUGUAUGAAUGGCAUAACGAGGGUUUAACUGUCUCUUUUUCCUGGCCAAUGAAACUGAUCUGCCCGUGCAGAAGCGGGCAUAAAAAUACAAGACGAGAAGACCCUGUGGAGCUUCAGACACUAACCAACCACAACAACAACGGCCUAACAAUUAACCGAAAAAACAAUGGUUCUGGUAAAAAUGUCUUCGGUUGGGGCGACCGCGGUGAGAAAACAAAGCUCCCGAGUGGACUGGGACCCCCCUAAAACCUAGAGCUACACCUCAAAGUCUCAAAACAUUUGACCAACAAUGAUCCGACACCUCGAUCAACGAACAAAGUUACCCCAGGGAUAACAGCGCAAUCCCCUCACAGAGCCCAUAUCGACGAGGGGGUUUACGACCUCGAUGUUGGAUCAGGACAUCCCAAUGGUGCAGCCGCUAUUAA
rnacentral:rRNA from 1 species